rnacentral:rRNA from 1 species
AUUGAACGCUGGCGGCAGGCCUAACACAUGCAAGUCGAACGAUUGGCGGACGGGUGAGUAAUGUCUGGGAAACUGCCCGAUGGAGGGGGAUAACUACUGGAAACGGUAGCUAAUACCGCAUACCAUCGGAUGUUCCCAGAUGGGAUUAGUUAGUAGGUGGGGUAACGGCUCACCUGGGCGACGAUCCCUAGCUGGUCUGAGAGGAUGACCAGCCACACUGGAACGGAGACACCGUCCAGACUCCUACGGUAGGCACCAGUGGGGAAUAUUUCACAAUGGGCGCAAGCCUGAUACAGCCAUGCCGCGUGUAUGAAGAAGGCCUUCGGGUUGUAAAGUACUUUCAGCGAGGAGGCGUUACUCGCAGAAGAAGCACCGGCUAACUCCGUGCCAGCAGCCGCGGUAAUAC